UCCCUGAUAGUCCUGUGGCUAAGAAUCCUCACUCUCAAUGCAGGAGGCCCCAGGUUCGAUUCCAGGUCAGGGAA
rnacentral:tRNA from 1 species